AAACGUCCUAGAACCCUAAAAUCGAUCAGCCAUCAAUCGUCUCGCUCGCUCGCAAACAUGUGGUCGAAGGUUUUCUCUGUCACAAAGGCCAUGCCCUGGUUUGCAAUUUCGAGUGCCUUUACUAGAACCUUAACUUUUGGAUCUACAGCCUACUUUUUUUACCGUACGGUCCCGUUGUUCGGUGAAGUCAUGAAAUCCCAAAAGGCUGCAAACGAGGCCUUUCAUCAGUGCUGGUCCAGUUCUCGAACCAAGUAACACCCUUGUGUUCUAAAUUAAUGGGUGCAAUGGUAAUGUAAUGUGAUGCGAUGGGUGUUGGAGGAUGACUAAUACUUUGCUUGAAUAAUUUUAAGACCUUGUAAUUGAAUUAUGUAUUUAUUAUGUUUAUCUUUUGCUUACUUUUAAGGCACCUCCAGCCUUAUGGCUUUUUUAUAUGA